rnacentral:lncRNA from 1 species
AAAGGUUUACACUAAAAAAGGAAAGGGAAAAAUGAGAUAAGAUAAAAGUUGUCUCCAAAUUAGGUCUAGUUUGCUUUUAUACUACUUGGGCCGAACCGGGUCAGCUCAGGAAAAACUGGGUCCUGACCCGGCCUUGAUGGGUAAAAGGAGCCUUUUUCCACGCCUGAAGUCCCCCUUGGUCAGACCGUGGCACGUUCACCGUGUCAAAGGAAGAUGGUUGAAUCUUCAAGAACAAGUCUUUGCCACGCCUUAGUUCAUGCAGUGUCUUGUGGCCGUGGCAUGUUUUUCUGGGUUUGGUUCAAGAAAAAUGGGUUUGCCACGGCUUGUCUCCAACUGUGGCAUGUGGACCGUGGCAAUUCACCAAAAUCUUUGGACAUUGCCACGCCUUGGUGAGUGGCCGUGGCAUGUGACCGUGUCAUCCUAAUGUGAGUUCUGCCACGGCUAAGUGUGAACCGUGGCAAUGUGACCGUGCCAAGUUCCGAGCAAAUUGAUAUCAUGCCACGACUUGAUGUAGGCCAUGGCAUUGUUCCCGUGAACACUUAGCAUAAUUCUGCAUUAAGUGACAAGUUGAACCCGAUUUGAAAUGCUCGUCCUUCUGUUACUGUAUCUUUUUGCUCUCAACUUCAAAUGACAUGAAAUCAAGUCCUCGUGAAAGAUCUUUAAACCAGCUCAAACUUCGGUGAAGAACUCAAUUGCAUCCGGGGAGUGGAAGGUCUCCCGGACGGCCAGUCUUUACAGUGCAUCAGAACGAUUAGAAAGAUGCUUCUGGACCCGUCUUCAUUCCGGAAAUGUUAUCUCUGUGCUCAGAUCUCUAAAUCGUGUGAUCUCAAGUUUUCUGGAAAUAAGACUUGAAGCUCUUGAAUCUUGAUGAAGGCCCUGUAAACUGAAUCGGUAUGGAAUGGUAUCGUCCUAAGUGAUAUUUGAAGUACAUCGGAUUCGGUCUGGAAUGUAUGCAAGACAGCUGUGUCUUCCGGUGGCCAUAACUCACAUCUCACUGAUUCUAAUCCACUGAUUCCAACUGUUCUGGAACCGUGACUCGAUCCUCUACAACGUUUUUGAAGACCCCGGCAACUGAAUCGGUCGGAAAAUCUCCCCGGACAGGUAAUCGUUAGCGCGUAUUGGCGUAAACAUGUUUUAGCCGAGGGUCCAUGUACCGCGUUAAGAGAAAUAGCCGAGAAAUCCUUCCCGCGGUGAAGUUUUUAGCUGAUAAAUCUCAAACCGUCUCGGCAUAAGAGUUUAGCCGAUAGAUCUUCACUCGAUAGCAAUUUUGGCCGAGAAAAACUUGUCGGACAAAAUUUUUAGCCGAGAAACUGCUCCUUCUGGUACACAAUUAUUCUGAUGAACUCCUUUAGAACAUUUUCACCAUUUCUGACCUUUUUCUCCUCCAUUUCAACUCCUGGUCACAUUUCCUCUGCUCCAAACAGCCUCAAAAGUACCUGUUUAAGACUCCAACCAUGCAAAGACUCAUUUGGACCUAAUGCAGCCCCUAAGUCCUAAAACAAUGCCUAAAGACAUAAAAUGCAUGAAAUAAGACAUGAUUUGGACUUAAACAUGCAAGCUAAAUGAUGCAAAUUAUGAACAUACCAACUUCCCCACACUUGUCUUUUGCUUGUCCUCAAGCAAAAGGAUCAAAUGAGAGAGAGGGUUGGUGUUUGGGAGUUCACAUUUCCUAUGGAGAGAGAGAAGUAAUCACAAAAGAAUUCACAUUCAGGGUCCAAGUUGCUAAUUCUGAAAUGCUAUGCAAGAUUUUACUUUGAUGCAUUAAGUUCAAGCAAUGAUCACUACAAGCAAUGAUAUUCCUCAGCCCUUUGAUAUUCAUUAAGCUCUUUAUCAUGUUAAUCAAGUGAUGCAUGUUCAAGCAAGCAAAGUUUAGCUAGAGAUGAGGUUAUGAGACUAAAAUGAUCUCAUUCAAUGCACAAGCAGGUUCAAUGCAACUAGGAGAUCUCUCAAUGAAUGAUCAAACUUUGGCAGAAGGCUAAAGGUAAGGAGCAACCGAUGCAUACAAGGACAAGACUCAACUCACCCCCUUACCUAAAAUGCCUCUAACUCACACUCUCACACUGAACCUCACAACUCUCUUCUCACUCAUUUUCAUCUCUCAAAAAGGGUUUUCUUUUCAUUUACAAAUUUUGGUUCUGGGAUCUUUCUUUUACAUUUAGCUCUUUUCACAUUUGAUUCAUCUAACCUCUAACUUUCUUUUUAGAAACAUGAGCCUUUGGCUUCUUUUCUUUUCUUUACACUUAGAGGUUAGAUGCUUUUUUCUUUUUAAAACGCUUAGAG